CCCCCUCAGUAAUAAUAUGUAAUAUAACUCAGUAUGCCCCAAUACAGAUAAGACCCACCCUGCGAUAUACCAGACCUCCUUCCAAGACAUUUGUUUAAUAACUUAUUCAAAUAAACCCAAAAUUGUAUACACUCGAUAAGAGCCCCCAAACCUCCAAAACAAAAGACUUCCUGUCUUUCUCCCAAUAACCAAAGCCCCCUUUGUUUGAUAAGACCCUUUCCCAGAACAGCCCCGGUGGUAUACAUGUGUAAUUAGCUAAAUGACUUUGAGAGGGAACUUGUCUUUGUCCCUUUGACAUAACCUACGCUGAUAUUACUUGUAUCCUCCUUUAUAAAGAUUAGAUGUUUUGGCUUUCUGAGAGGAGAAGAGUUCAGACCAUCACCAAGCUAGUACCUAUACUUUGUCUGCUCAAGCUGCUUUAGUCAAAUUUUACAAGGAAUUGCUGAUUCGUAAACUGAUACAGUCAAGAUGGCACCAAAGAAAGUUAGAGGCCCAAGACGUGUAAGGGUUUGUCCCAAAGAAGGUUGUGGGAUAAGGACCCAGCAGUUGCCGAGGCAUCUGAUGAAUAUCCAUCGCAUGGACAAUGAAAAGGCUAACGCACUUUCCACUGCAUUAUUUCAUCAAGACGGUCAGGGUAGAGGCAGAAACGAUGGUGAUGAUGUAGACAAGGUUAGGUGUUUUUUCCCCCAUUGCAAUGCCAAGGUUGUUAACCUGCACAGGCACAUUGUUGGAGUUCAUGGCAAAAGCAAGAAGAUAACAUCCAGAAUGAUCCGAGAUAAAAAGUAUGGAAUUGAAAUUCCAAAUGGAAUGUUUGGUGAGUAACAAUCUAAACUUUACAUUUAUACCUGAUGUUGGUCAAAUCAAUUGUGGGCAGUCGUGACAAUUUAAACCAAAUCAAUAGCAUUAUCUUUAGAGGACUAUGUGAGUC